CCAUUCUAAAAGUUAUACCCCAGAAGAAUCCUCUACUGUACAAUUCCAUUGCCAGAAAAAAUCAUGAGUACUUCAUCUACAAUAAAUGUAAUCCCAGGAGCUUCUUCUUCAUCUUCAUCAGUAGAUGCUGAAACUCUAAGAAGAAAUCGAAUCCAUUCCAGUAAACUCUAUUUUGAUGUUCCACUCUCUAUGGUCCCUUUAAUUUACUCAUCUUCUUAUGAUAUAGCCUUCUUCGGUAUAGAGAAAUUGCAUCCAUUUGAUUCAUCAAAAUGGGGUCGAAUUUGUCAAUUUCUUAUAAAGGAUGGUGUACUGGAACGAAGUCGGAUUGUUGAGCCUUUGGAAGCUUCAAAUAAUGAUCUCUUAGUGGUACAUUCGGAAUCAUAUUUGAGUAGUUUGAAGAACAGUUAUAAGGUUGCUGUCAUAAUCGAGGUCCCGCCUGUUGGGUUACUACCAAAUUGUCUUGUGCAGCAAAAAGUUCUUUACCCUUUUCGCAAGCAGGUAGGGGGAACUAUUUUGGCAGCAAAGCUUGCAAAAGAGCGGGGAUGGGCAAUUAAUGUUGGUGGAGGAUUUCAUCAUUGCUGUGCUGAUAAAGGAGGUGGAUUCUGUGUCUAUGCAGACAUAUCUCUUUGCAUUAUAUUUGCAUUUACUCGGUUGAAUAUUUCAAGGGUGAUGAUCAUUGACCUUGAUGCGCAUCAGGGGAAUGGACAUGAAAUGGACUUUGGAAAUGAUAGUAGAGUUUAUAUCCUGGACAUGUACAAUCCCGAUAUUUAUCCCUUUGACUUUAAGGCAAGAAUUUACAUUGAUCAGAGUGUCCAAGUACAGAGCGGGACUCCAACAGAAGUGUAUUUGGAACAAUUAGAUAAAGCACUUGAGGUUGCUGGGAAUAAUUUCAAUCCUGAGUUGGUUGUGUACAAUGCUGGCACUGAUAUCCUCGAUGGAGACCCUCUGGGACAGUUGAAGGUGAGCCCUGAUGGAGUAGCCAGUAGAGAUGAGAAGGUGUUCAGAUUUGCCAAAGAAAAGAACAUUCCUCUUGUUAUGCUUACAUCAGGUAUUUCCUUUUGUUAUGCUUACAUCAGGAAAUGAUGAAGGGGGAGGUUUGAUGCAUUCGGCAUAAAUUUUAUGUACCCAUGAAUACAGUCCUGCUUGUGUCUUGCUCAUCCUGAGGUGCUUUAUGGACCACAUUCUCUGAGCAUGGAAUUGGUAGCGAUACUAAGUACAUUCCAUGUCAACUUACUUGGCCAGCUGUACAUGUUGAUAAUCAAAGUUUAAUAAGCAUUUUCAAUGGAUGCAGUGGCGGAGCCAACCCAUGGCAAGGGUUGGCUCCUAAGCCUUUUUUUUUUCCUUUUGCCUACCCUAAAAAUGUUUUGCCUCACCAUAGCAGAUUUUCUGGCGCCGCGACUGAAUGGGUGGUUAUAUGAAAUCAAGUGCCAAAGUUAUUGCAGAUUCAUUAACAAACUUAUCAGCUAAAGGGUUGAUUGAUUUAGCGACUCCUCCCUUGGGAACCUAAAAACCGUAUACCCGAACUUUUUGUUGUGUGGGUAUGUGAGAGUGCAUAGGUAAACAUACCUUUUCUAUGGUAUACGGCGAUAGUACUUUUGGUCGCAACUUGGCACUGAUGUAUAAAUACAGUAGGUAAAUAUACCUUUUCUAUGGUGUACAGCGACAGUACUUUGGUUGGCAACUUGGCACUGAUGUAUAAAUACAGUUCUAAACAGAGCCAGAUAAUCAAUGUCGAAAUGUUUUCUGUACUAUAAAA